GACCGGAGAAAUUUAUUAAUUUAGAGAGUUAUUAAUUUAUCGAUAAAUUAAUAAUUAUUAAUUUAAAGAGUUUUUAAGUAAUUAUACUGUACAUACCAAACAAAAAGGCAAAUUAGUCUAUGUCUCUUAGAAUUACGUUGCACCAAAUCUUGAGACUCAAUGUAAAUUAAUAAAUAUUGUAUUCAUAUCCAUUGGAAAUAUGACUUUUGACUUUUGAAGUGUAUAGUAAAU
rnacentral:lncRNA from 1 species